GGAAAGAGUACAUGCACUGGGAAGGGGCUGAGGCUGCUGGGGCAGGUAACGUGUGUGAGGGCAGAGAGCUCCUAAAGAGGCCAUUGCAGGGUACGCUCUGCUGACCUACACUGAGGUGUAUCUAUACAUGCUGGAAGCCCGCGCUGUCCAAGAGCGGGACAAGAGCUAAUGGGAUUCCUUUCGCAUUUCCUCCCUGUGGCUGGGGCCAGACCCGACUCCAACCCCUGCAUUGCCUGUGUCUAAGCCACGCCUAUGCCAGCCGUUCUUCUGCCUGCGAGCUCUUCCUUUUUUAUCUGUGCCACCACUGCUCCAGUGAUGCCAGUGCAGCCACGGACCCCUGCACCACAUAACCUACAGUUGCACCCCCACCCAGCUGCUCUUCUCCGCUGCAAAGCCCAUGCUUUGCCUUUCCUCUCCCAUCUCCCGGGGGCACACAGAAGGCGAAGUCGUUCGCAAUGA
rnacentral:lncRNA from 13 species